rnacentral:rRNA from 1 species
GUCGUUACGUUCCUCGGUUCCUCCCACCAGGUCGGCUCUCUUCCUACAACGCUCUCCCCUACUUCGCCGUCAACGCACCGGCACAACUUGGCUCGACCAACGGUCUCGCCUACCUCACCACCGACGUGCCUAAGGAAUAACCUCCACGGCAUGGAAGUAUAGGAGACGACGUCGUCUACGUCUACCUCGUGUGGCACCCUAUAGGGGUAGGUGGUGCCAGUGACGGCAGUUCCCGAAGAAGUACCUAGACCCUGCGGUACCUGGACGUCGAGGAGUUCCAAGAACAUGGGGUUGGAGAGCCUGGGGAACUUGCCCCUCCGCCGAAGCGACUACUGCGCGCUGUUCUUCCGUAUGUUGGUCUUUCAGGUUCUUAGACUACGCACUGCUAGUCUACCAGUUUUUUCACUGUAACACACUGCUAGCCUACCAAGAAGUUCGAGGGUCGUACUGCAUGAGAGGUAGAGAACAGAGAAAGCGUACCGCCCCGUCUCCCUAACCAGCUCCUGGCGUCGUAGCCGCUGGGUCCAUGUUCGUGCACCGCCGCACCGCCGUUGACCCUACGUGUACUCCGAUGACAAGAAGAUGGCCAAGUGUCGCAGGUACACUGUGGCGGCUCGGGAAGUAAACGCAGGAGGACCCUCUGGUGGUACGUCGUGGUUCCUCUCUUAUAUCUACUAUCCUCUUACCCCCUUCUAUAUUUACGGAACUCACUUAUUUAUUUACCUGCUAAGUACCCCGAAGUGAUUACCUAUCGUAGUGUGACAGUGGACUUUAACGAAAUCACAUAUGUGGGUCCCGCGGAUGUACGAGUACAAUCUCAAUUACCUCCUACUUCACACUGGCAUGAUAGAGGAACACAGAUGUUGCUGCACACGGUCAUGACAGAGGAACUGGCCGAGGAAUCCGAGAGGGACACGCCAUCGCCGAGUUAGAGGCGCCACGGCAGCUCCUCCUCCCCGACCCCGUUGGCACAGACCACGCGAGAGCGAUGAGUAGCUGGAACGACAAUGAUGGAGUAGGAACUUCGGUACCCACCGGAGAUUAAAAGGGAAACCUCACAACUUACGUUUGACGUUUUCAUCUCGACCAACCGAUCGACAACUAAACUAGUCCCCUAUCGUAUACUUCACUCAUUUGUCUUUCUUUCACUCGUAGGUUCGUCCUUGACGUUUACGAGAUAAAAUCAGUUUCGUACCCUUACACGUGUUCCCUUUCCGUACAUAUUCAUCGUGUUAGCACCACGCGCACACUUCAGAUCUUCGCCUACCCUGUUUCAACCCCUUCAACAGAAUCGAACAGAUUUCCAACUACAGGGCCCGUUCUGCGUCAUGGAGUACAAACAGAGAAAAACCCUGUACGACGUUGUGUACCCGUUCAACCUCUAACCUCUUCAGCUAACCCCCGAACUCCGUACUCUCCUAUGGUACUCUUCCCGUCAGUCCUCCUUCGGAUCUCAGAUGUAAGUCGUGGUUUCGGACGUGGUAUCGUCUCUUGUUACUACUUACGUUCCAUAUAAUAGAUCUUUUAUAUAGCGAAGUUGGAUUACUAGGUACUACCACAGUCGAGCUAAACUAAGACUUCCGAAGGAAAC